GUAGGUGGCAAGCGUUGUCCGGAUUUACUGGGCGUAAAGAGCGCGCAGGCGGUCGAUCAAGUCGCGUGUGAAAGCCCCCGGCUCAACUGGGGAGGGUCACGCGAUACUGAUCGACUCGAAGGCAGGAGAGGGUAGUGGAAUUCCCGGUGUAGUGGUGAAAUGCGUAGAUAUCGGGAGGAACACCAGUGGCGAAGGCGACUACCUGGCCUGUUCUUGACGCUGAGGCGCGAAAGCUAGGGGAGCAAACGGGAUUAGAUACCCCGGUAGUCCUAGCCGUAAACGAUGGACACUAGGUGUUGGUGGUAUCAACCCCGCCAGUGCCGUAGCUAACGCAUUAAGUGUCCCGCCUGGGGAGUACGGCCGCAAGGCUA
rnacentral:rRNA from 1 species